rnacentral:rRNA from 1 species
ACGCAUGGCCACACCAGCUUUUCAAGGCCUGAUCUUGUUAGAUCUCACAAGCUAAUCAAGGCCGGGCCUGGUUACUACUUGGAUAGGAGCCUGUCGGGAAUAUCAGGUGGCACAGCGGG